GAGCCUCCAGAUGGGGCUGCUUAACAGAAGGACCGAGUGAUUAAAUGGUGAGAACUGCCCUCUGGGAGCUAGGGAGGAAACGCUGGAGGUUGAAAUCUGUAAAAACCCUUGAACAGCAAGAUCCUGAGAGCUUCGGAGUUGAUAAGCACAUCCAUGUGCCAGGAGGGUGGUGCACCCCAAUUUCAUGGAGACAGAAGUUCUUCUGCUCAGGACCCUUCCUUAACUCUCCCUGUGUACUUCUUAUCUGGCUGUUGAUUUGUAUCCUUUAUGAUCAACUGUCCAUAAAGUAAUGACGUGCCUUAGAAUACAUGGCAUUUUGGAUUUGAUGAAAUACAGCCGUGCUUACCCAGUGUGAGGCACUAUCUAUUUCAAUCUCACAACAACCCUGUGAGGAAUUACUGAAUCCAUUUUACUCCUAAACUCUGAAGCCUGCUGUUUCCAGCUCUCUGGCUCAUCACUCAAGAGUGACAUCAGAGUCUUCUCAGGAGAGCAAAGCCCACCACCGUCUGGGAAGAGAGAAAGGGGA